GCAGGAGCAAAGGCCAGCCAAGGGCGAUCGUAUGUCAGCCAUCUCGCGUCGCUACGAAAACACGACAGUCGUUCGUCAUGCCUUGGAUAUAACAGCAAAUCCUCCACGGCACCUGCUUUAUAUAACGCAAGAAGGCAGCUGCAAGGACACAAGGAUGUGAAAGAGCCAGUGCAGCGCGACUUCACGUAGUGUAGAGGAGCCAACGCCAAAAAAUCAAAAUACAUUGGCAUGUAAUUUGGACAAGAAAACCAGUAUGUGGGUAUAUUGGGUGUACCAAUUGACCAAAUGUAAACAAAAUCAAGAUACAGGAUGUUACACCAAGAUGAAAAUUCUCACGUGCUCCAGGCAGUCAUCUUAACAUGGUAUAUUUAUGCAAUGUCUCCGAUUGGAAAGUCAAAUCAGGGACAACCCAGGACGUGCAUUUCUCAGCACCCAGUCAACUGCCAGAAGUGAAUCGAACACAGAGCACCACUGACCGAGGUAUGUUGAAGAGCAACUCUUGUCCUGACGCUUCAGUCAUCUGAGCUGCGAAAGAUCUGAUGCGCUGCAAGUUUUUGUCAACAAUCCAAGGAGAAUCACUGGAAUAGCAGGUGCUCGGACCACUCAUCGCGUGUCUUUUCCUUCCUGGACUGGAGACUACGCCACUGACCGCACCUUCAUAUUUACCUACCCAUCUCAGCGUAGAUGUAUCAGGCGCCCGUCAACGAGCCACUGCCAACGCUUCACCCGUCCUUGGAACGACACACUCGUCCUUGGAUUACCCGCCCCUCGCAGCAGAAUGGGAAGCGCCGUCACCAGCUAUGUAGCAGGUGCAGCCACCAGUGGAACUUUUUGGACUUGGCGGCUUUGCCACUGCGCAGGCCACUAAUCCUUUCGUCUUCGUAAUGCAGUUCCGUGAACGUUUCAACCUCUUUGCCAAAGAGUCUAACAACUACUUCUUAGUACAGUUGCCAAGCCCACAGUGCCUUAACGCUGCUCUUGCUAAUUGUUUUCAUGUCAUUUUUCCGGUGCUACUCCUACUUUCCGGUGACAUAGAAACUAACCCCAAUCCGGAUACUGCAGCUAUCCUCGAAGAACUAAAGAAGAUAUCUACUAGCCAGUCCAAGCUUAUUUAGGAAGUUCAAGAUCUAAAAUCUCAGUUAUUAGCGACAGACAGAAAUGUAUCUGACCUCGGCAAACGUAUGGCCAAAUUUGAGAGCCAUUACGAAAGCCAUCUAACACAACAGAUACAGAAGAUCUCCGCGCCUACGCAAGUAAGGCUACUCGCUUUAUUUUAAAACUAGAGCCAGGCAGUUGGCCCGCUCGUUAGGGUUGCAACCCGCUCGGUUAGUUGCAUCGUCCAUGUGGGCAGGGAACCAUGCUAUGGUGAUAUGACCUGCAGUUUGUUCUCGCGUAUUAAUACGAAACCAUCUGUUAACGAUGUCGGCUGCGUGUUUACAAACUAGAGCGGACGAGAAAGCCCUUACCGCCGUGCGCGAGUCGGAGAAAAAUGGACGCCGGGCCUUUUGCGGCUUGAAGAGCCAAGGCUAUCGCGGUUUCCUCCGCCUCGUUCGCGUGUUUGGCGUAGAUUGAUGCGGCGCUGAUAAGCGUUCCGCGCGCGUCAACGACCGUGAUUGCAAACUUGUCUUCGCUGCCAUAUUUGGCGGCGUCUACGAAGAAUGCAUCUGCCCUGUAAGGAUCUAUUCGUUGAAGGAUGGCUCUAGCCCGCGCUCUUCUGCGACCUUCGUUAUAUAUUGGGUGGAUGUUCCUCGGCACGGGCUCAAUCUUUAUACCUUCACGGGCUAAUUUAGACAACCUUUCACGAAAUUACGUCACAUUACAGACACAGCAGGAGGAAAUUCGCUCCCCCCAGUCCGAAACUGAACAGAGCUCAGGCUGUUACUUUCAGGCUUUUACAGACGAGAUCGUACCUCACUCCGAGAGCGCUUAGUUGGAUAGACCCAAACUUUCCUCAAUCGUGCUCCAAAUGCGGUCACGCGUGCUGCUCCUUCGACCACAUGCUCUGGCUGUGCCCGUACAACGCGGGCUCCGACUUUCAUAACAAGUCCAAGUGGGACGCCUUGCUGAGGAGCUCGGAUUUCCCAAGCCAACUACAGGCCGUCCAGAGGGCCCGCGACGUCGCGGAGAGUCACCAUCUCCCUGUCCCGUCGUGGGCGGAGCCACCAACUUGAUCGGGGAGCCUUCGGUUCCCCCCAAUCAUGUUCCUCAGGACAAUCCAAUAAAGUUCUUG